rnacentral:rRNA from 1 species
GGGAGGAACACGUGAGCAACCUGGCCUUGGAGUCGGGGAAAACCGUGGAAACGACGGCUAAUACCGGAUGUGGCGCCCGGAGACAUCUUCGGAGCGCUAAAGGGGGCCGCAAGGCUCUCGCUCGUAGAGGGGCUCGCGCACCAUCAGCUUGUUGGCGGGGUAACGGCCCACCAAGGCCUACGGUUAGCUGGUCUGAGGGGAUGACCAGCCCCACUGGGACUGAGAUACUGCCCAGACUCCUACGGGAGGCUGCAGUCGAGGAUCAUUUGCAAUGGGCGAAAGCCUGACAAUGCGACGCUGCGUGGGAAGGAUGAAGGCCUUCGGGUUGUAAACUCCUGUCAUGGGGGAACAGGCGAGGAAACCUAAUACGUUUCUUAGUUGAGUGUACCCCAAGAGGAAUUGGCGGCUAACUCUGUGCCAGCAGCUGC